rnacentral:misc_RNA from 1 species
GUUUAAGGUUUUUUAGCUCAAGGAAUUCUUACUUGUUUUCUCUCUUUGUUUCAUGCCCUUAAGAUCAUAAGGAGCUCUGAUACCACUGUUACAAUUCUGGAAGUGAAAACAGAGUAGAGUAAGUAGAUAAAAAACUGCAAAGAACCAGUUUUUUUGAAGAUAAUACUUCUCUCAUAUGGAAAGUUUAUUUUACAGGUUAUAUAUAUUCAAAAAGAGAGUUACAUCAGUCAAUACACACCACCUACUGCCCUAACAACUACAGCAGUAAUUAGAUAACAACUCUCAGCAAAUUAGGCAGCAAAUUAAGCCCAACCAUACAUGACCAAAAGAGCUGUUACAUCAGUACAAAAUACACAGCUGUGAGGACAUAAACAUAAACCAAAAUAGCUUCUAAGUAUUUAGGAAAAAUCUCAUUACAUCAACAGAACCAAUCAUUAUAGAAAACUUUUGAUAACCAACAUUGACUAGACAUCUCCAACAAUGGAAUUCGUAGGCUCUACCAUUAGUGAGUUAUGCAAUACUCAAGAAAGUAGCGGUAGAGGAAGACUGGGAUGGAGAAGGAUCGACUACGAUGAUACCAGAGAGUACAAGUCCAAGAACCUUCAUGCCGAGAGGAGGAGACGACAAAAGCUUAGUGACAGGCUCCUGGCAUUGCGUUCUUUGGUUCCUAUUAUCACAAAUGCAAAAUUCUUCUAAAUCCUUCAUUUUUUUUUCAUUAACUUGUCUUGCUAAGUGUGGAUUUUUGUUAUUUUUUUGGCUGGCUCAGAUGAACAAGGCGACCAUAAUUGAGGAUGCAAUUACUUACAUCCAGAAGCUACAGCAGAAUGCGAAGCUUCUUAGUGACCAGCUUCUUGAAAUGCAGUCAUCGUCUGAGGAGGCAAUAGUCAAGACAAUGAGUGAUGAGAUUAAUGCUGCAAAGGAAAUGAAGCAAUUUGGAAUAAUGGUUUGAUUAAAAUAAUUUCACAACUCCUUUUACCUGAAAAUUUUGUUAUGUCACUCUUUUUAUUUAUGCCAUUUUUUGUAGGAAGAUGUUCAGGUGACUAAAUCGAUGGGAAUAAGCUAUGGAUUAAGAUUAUCUUGGAGAAGAAAAGAUGGAAGUUCCCCAGAUUAAUAGAACCCAUGACUUAUAUCGGCCUCGAACUCUCUGACACCAAUGUUACCACCCCUUAAGGAGCAAUGCUUGUUUCGUCAUGUGAGGUACCUGAUAGUACUUUCCGAACUCAAAACCUCACAGCUUUAAAGAUCAAGAUGGUACUCUGCUUCUCUAAUAUAACAUUAAUUUUUAAUCAAAUAGAAUGUUUUGUGGUUUCAGGGUAGUUGUGGGGAUACACUGACAGUUGACCACACUAAGGAGCUUCUGCUAGAGACCAUCGGAAGCAUAUGGAAGGAAGAAAGAUCAGAUUGAUUAAACUAUUGAUGGAUCCAUAGUAAAUGGGCUUAAAAAAUAUUACUUAAAUAGUUAUAUUGUGAUUCAACAUUGAGAUGCAAGGACAAAUUAGAGGCCAAAUUGAUCUUUGAUGUCCAACAUUAAGACAGAAAAUUUUAUUUGGACAAAAUUACUUCAAAUUUUCAUUUUUUUAAAAAUCAAAUUAACCCAAAUAUCUGAUAAGGU